rnacentral:rRNA from 1 species
UUGGAUUCUGGGAUGAAUGAUUUCACACUUAACUUCUAUCUUUUGUUAAAACAUAAAAAUUGGAGUCUAAGUAAAAAUACUUAGAUUUUUUAAAAAGACGAUAAGACCCUAAAAGCUUUAAAUUUUAUUAAUAACGAAAAUAUUAAAAAAAAUUUUUAACUGGGGUAGUUAUAUUUUAGAUUAUUUAAUAUAAAGACUUUUGUGUUAAUAUUCCUUAAUAUUAGGAUUCAAAUAAGUUACUUUAGGGAUAACAGCGUAAUAGUGUUGGUGAGAACUUAUCUAUAGCACUGAUUACGACCUCGAUGUUGAAUUAAUAUAUCUUUUUAAAGCAGUUUUNAAAGGAGAGGGUUUGUUCAACCUUUAAU